rnacentral:tRNA from 1 species
ACUACUUUGACAGAAAAAUGUGAUAAAUUUAGAAUUUAUUUAUGUAAUGGAUAUUACAAGUGGUA